rnacentral:rRNA from 1 species
ACUCCUACGGGAGGCAGCAGUGGGGAAUAUUGCACAAUGGGCGCAAGCCUGAUGCAGCAACGCCGCGUGAGGGACGACGGCCUUCGGGUUGUAAACCUCUUUUAGUAGGGAAGAAGCGAAAGUGACGGUACCUGCAGAAAAAGCACCGGCUAACUACGUGCCAGCAGCCGCGGUAAUACGUAGGGUGCAAGCGUUAUCCGGAAUUAUUGGGCGUAAAGAGCUCGUAGGCGGUUUGUCGCGUCUGCUGUGAAAACUGGAGGCUCAACCUCCAGCCUGCAGUGGGUACGGGCAGACUAGAGUGCGGUAGGGGAGAUUGGAAUUCCUGGUGUAGCGGUGGAAUGCGCAGAUAUCAGGAGGAACACCGAUGGCGAAGGCAGAUCUCUGGGCCGUAACUGACGCUGAGGAGCGAAAGCAUGGGGAGCGAACAGGAUUAGAUACCCUGGUAGUCCAUGCCGUAAACGUUGGGAACUAGAUGUAGGGGCCAUUCCACGGUUUCUGUGUCGCAGCUAACGCAUUAAGUUCCCCGCCUGGGGAGUACGGCCGCAAGGCUAAAACUCAAAGGAAUUGACGGGGGCCCGCACAAGCGGCGGAGCAUGCGGAUUAAUUCGAUGCAACGCGAAGAACCUUACCAAGGCUAGACAUAUACCGGAAAAGUUCAGAAAUGUUCUCCCCGCAAGGUCGGUAUACAGGUGGUGCAUGGUUGUCGUCAGCUCGUGUCGUGAGAUGUUGGGUUAAGUCCCGCAACGAGCGCAACCCUCGUUCUAUGUUGCCAGCACGUAAUGGUGGGAACUCAUAGGAGACUGCCGGGGUCAACUCGGA